rnacentral:sRNA from 1 species
UUUUUGCGUGAGUGAUGGCAGUGGAACUCUUUUUUCUUUCAAUUGCCACGGCUUUAAACCCGUGGCAAUUGAAAGAAAAAAAGCGGGAACGUACAGCACGACCCGUA